GCUUGGGUGGCUCAGUCGGUUAAGCGUCCGACUUCGGCUCAGGUUCCGAUCUCACAGUUCGUGGGUUCGAGCCCCACGUCAGGCU
rnacentral:tRNA from 1 species